rnacentral:rRNA from 1 species
GACGAACGCUGGCGGCGUGCCUAAUACAUGCAAGUAGAACGCACAGUUUAUACCGUAGCUUGCUACACCAUAGACCGUGAGUUGCGAACGGGUGAGUAACGCGUAGGUAACCUGCCUGGUAGCGGGGGAUAACUAUUGGAAACGAUAGCUAAUACCGCAUAAUAUUAAUUAUUGCAUGAUAAUUAAUUGAAAGGUGCAAUUGCACCACUACCAGAUGGACCUGCGUUGUAUUAGCUAUUAGGUGAGGUAACGGCUCACCUAGGCGACGAUACAUAGCCGACCUGAGAGCGUGAUCGGCCACACGGGUACUGAGACAGGGCCCAGACUCCUACGGGAGGCAGCAGUAGGGAAGCUUCGGCAAUGGACGAAAGACUGACCGAGCAACGCCGGGGGAGUGAAGAAGGUUGUCGGUUCGUAAAGUUCUGUCGUAAGCGAAGAACGGGUGUGAGAGUGGAAAUUUCACACUGUGACGGUAUCUUAUUAGAAAGGGAUGGCUAACGACGUG